rnacentral:rRNA from 1 species
UACGUAGGGUGCGAGCGUUGUCCGGAAUUAUUGGGCGUAAAGAGCUCGUAGGCGGCCUGUUGCGUCUGCUGUGAAAGCCCGGGGCUUACCGGUCCGUGCAGUGGAUACGGGCAGGCUAGAGUUCGGCAGGGGAGACUGGAAUUCCUGGUGUAGCGGUGAAAUGCGCAGAUAUCAGGAGGAACACCAGUGGCGAAGGCGGUGCUCUGGGCCGGAACUGACGCUGAGGAGCGAAAGCGUGGGGAGCAAACAGG